rnacentral:antisense_RNA from 1 species
CUUCACCGACCCCAACCACAACGGCCGGUCGGCGGACCUUUCCUGACCGUAGGUCGCCAACAACGCCUGCGCCUC